rnacentral:rRNA from 1 species
ACUCCUGCGGGAGGCAGCAGUGGGGAAUUUUGGACAAUGGGCGAAAGCCUGAUCCAGCAAUGCCGCGUGAGUGAAGAAGGCCUUCGGGUUGUAAAGCUCUUUUGUCAGGGAAGAAACGGUGAAAGCUAAUAUCUUUUGCUAAUGACGGUACCUGAAGAAUAAGCACCGGCUAACUACGUGCCAGCAGCCGCGGUAAUACGUAGGGUGCAAGCGUUAAUCGGAAUUACUGGGCGUAAAGCGUGCGCAGGCGGUUUUGUAAGUCUGAUGUGAAAUCCCCGGGCUCAACCUGGGAAUUGCAUUGGAGACUGCAAGGCUAGAAUCUGGCAGAGGGGGGUAGAAUUCCACGUGUAGCAGUGAAAUGCGUAGAUAUGUGGAGGAACACCGAUGGCGAAGGCAGCCCCCUGGGUCAAGAUUGACGCUCAUGCACGAAAGCGUGGGGAGCAAACAGGAUUAGAAACCCGAGUAGUCCCAUGAU